GAAACGACUGCUAAGACUGGAUAGGAGACAAGAGGGCAUCUACUUGUUUUUAAAAGACCUAGCAAUAGGUAUGCUUAGGGAGGAGCUUGCGUCACAUUAGUUAGUUGGUGGGGUAAAGGCCUAACAAGACUAUGAUGUGUAGCCGGGCUGAGAGGUUGAACGGCCACAUUGGGACUGAGACACGGCCCAAACUCCUACGGGAGGCAGCAGUAGGGAAUUUUCGGCAAUGGAGGAAACUCUGACCGAGCAACGCCGCGUGAACGAUGAAGUAUUUCGGUACGUAAAGUUCUUUUAUUAGGGAAGAAUAAAUGAUGGAAAAAUCAUUCUGACGGUACCUAAUGAAUAAGCCCCGGCUAACUAUGUGCCAGCAGCCGCGGUAAUACAUAGGGGGCAAGCGUUAUCCGGAAUUAUUGGGCGUAAAGGGUGCGUAGGCGGUUAAUUAAGUUUAUGGUCUAAGUGCAAUGCUCAACAUUGUGAUGCUAUAAAAACUGUUUAGCUAGAGUAAGAUAGAGGCAAGUGGAAUUCCAUGUGUAGUGGUAAAAUGCGUAAAUAUAUGGAGGAACACCAGUAGCGAAGGCGGCUUGCUGGGUCUUUACUGACGCUGAGGCACGAAAGCGUGGGGAGCAAACAGGAUUAGAUACCCUGGUAGUCCACGCCGUAAACGAUGAGUACUAAACGUUGGGUAAAACCAGUGUUGAAGUUAACACAUUAAGUACUCCGCCUGAGUAGUACGUACGCAAGUAUGAAACUUAAAGGAAUUGACGGGACUCCGCACAAGCGGUGGAUCAUGUUGUUUAAUUCGAAGGUACCCGAAAAACCUCACCAGGUCUUGACAUGCUUCUGCAGAGCUGUAGAAACACAGUGGAGGUUAUCAGUUGCACAGGUGGUGCAUGGUUGUCGUCAGCUCGUGUCGUGAGAUGUUGGGUUAAGUCCCGCAACGAGCGCAACCCUUAUUGUUAGUUACCAGCACGUAAUGGUGGGGACUUUAGCAAGACUGCCAGUGAUAAAUUGGAGGAAGGUGGGGACGACGUCAAAUCAUCAUGCCCCUUAUGACCUGGGCUACAAACGUGAUACAAUGGCUGUUACAAAGGGUAGCUGAAGCGCAAGUUUUUGGCAAAUCUCAAAAAAACAGUCUCAGUUCGGAUUGAAGUCUGCAACUCGACUUCAUGAAGUUGGAAUCGCUAGUAAUCGCGAAUCAGCAUGUCGCGGUGAAUACGUUCGCGGGGUUUGUACACACCGCCCGUCA
rnacentral:rRNA from 1 species